rnacentral:rRNA from 1 species
UGCAUAUCAAAAAAGCGGAGCAAAAGAAACUAACAAGGAUUCCCCUAGUAACGGCGAGUGAAGCGGGAAGAGCUCAAAUUUGAAAUCUGGCAGUCUUCGAUUGUCCGAGUUGUAAUCUAUAGAGGCGUUUUCCGUGCCGGACCGUGUCCAAGUCUCCUGGAAAGGAGUAUCAAAGAGGGUGAUAAUCCCGUACUUAACACGACCACCGGUGCUCUGUGAUACGUCUUCUACGAGUCGAGUUGUUUGGGAAUGCAGCUCAAAAUGGGUGGUGAAUUCCAUCUAAAGCUAAAUAUUGGCGAGAGACCGAUAGCGAACAAGUACCGUGAGGGAAAGAUGAAAAGCACUUUGGAAAGAGAGUUAAACAGUACGUGAAAUUGUUGAAAGGGAAACGAUUGAAGUCAGUCGUGUUCUUUGGAUUCAGCCAGUUCUGCUGGUCUACUUCCUUGGAACGGGUCAACAUCAGUUUUGUCCGGUGGAUAAAGGUAGUAGGAAUGUGACUUCUCCGGAAGUGUUAUAGCCUAUUAUCACAUACACUGGGUGAGACUGAGGACUGCAGCUCGCCUUUAUGGCCGGUCUUCGGACACGUCGAGCUAGGAGUACAUAGAUUCA